UACGUAGGGUGCGAGCGUUGUCCGGAAUUACUGGGCGUAAAGAGCUCGUAGGUGGUUUGUCGCGUUGUUCGUGAAAACUCACAGCUUAACUGUGGGCGUGCGGGCGAUACGGGCAGACUGGAGUACUGCAGGGGAGACUGGAAUUCCUGGUGUAGCGGUGGAAUGCGCAGAUAUCAGGAGGAACACCGAUGGCGAAGGCAGGUCUCUGGGCCACUACUGACGCUGGAGGAGCGAAAGCGUGGGGAGCGAACAGG
rnacentral:rRNA from 1 species